rnacentral:rRNA from 1 species
CCUACGGUGAGCAGCAGUGGGGAAUAUUGGGCAAUGGGCGCAAGCCUGACCCAGCAACGCCGCGUGAAGGAAGAAGGCUUUCGGGUUGUAAACUUCUUUUCUCAGGGACGAAGCAAGUGACGGUACCUGAGGAAUAAGCCACGGCUAACUACGUGCCAGCACCCGCGGGAAUACGUAGGUGGCAAGCUUUAGUCGGAUUUACUGGGUGUAAAGGUCGUGUGGGCCGGAAAGCAAGUCAGAUGUGAAAACCAUGGGCUCAACCUGUGGCCUGCCUUUGAAACUGUUUUUCUUGAGUACUGGAGAGGCAGACGGAAUGCCUAGUGUAGCGGUGAAAUGCGUAGAUAUUAGGAGGAACACCAGUGGCGAAGGCGGUCUGCUGGACAGCAACUGACGCUGAGGCGCGAAAGCGUGGGGAGCAAACAGGAUUAGAUACCCCAGUAGUC